rnacentral:rRNA from 1 species
UACGUAGGGUGCAAGCGUUAAUCGGAAUUACUGGGCGUAAAGCGUGCGCAGGCGGUUUUGUAAGUCUGUCGUGAAAGCCCCGGGCUCAACCUGGGAAUUGCGAUGGAGACUGCAAGGCUUGAAUCUGGCAGAGGGGGGGUAGAAUUCCACGUGUAGCAGUGAAAUGCGUAGAGAUGUGGAGGAACACCGAUGGCGGAGGCAGCCCCCUGGGUCAAGAUUGACGCUCAUGCACGAAAGCGUGGGGAGCAAACAGGG